CACCUUAAAAUGGGCAGAACACUUAUACGAGAAGCAAACUUUUCAAUGUUUCCAUACUGAACCUCUUAUUCUUAUUCUUACCUGCAGUUUCUUUUUCUCUUUCCAGCAGUGCUGUAACAUCUACAAACCCAGAUGUCACAAGCAUUUUAGCUUUCUUUUUCAUUCCUUUGUAAUGCUGCAUGAGUUUAACUACAUGUUGUGACCUGGAAUCACUGUUGCACUUUACCAUAUUAUCUAACAAAAACUGUGGCAGCCUUUCCAGUACUGAAUGAGUUAAAUGUUUAACCUUUUCUUUUAUUUACAGUCUCUUGUAUAUUCCUCCCCUCUCUCUUUCUUUCCAAGUUUCCUAUUGUUUUCUCCUUAUCUCUGCUAUUUAUCUGUUUAGAGUGGACUAGAGACCAGGUCCUGGAUUUUUAAACACUUUAAGAUAUCCCUACCAGCAAAGGAAUUUGUAUAUCAACCAAAAAACAUUGUGGGAAUUCCCUUUUACACCAGAUCACAGUGCCAGUAAACUCUUUAAGUUGAUCCUACCCUCAAGCUAUUUUUUGUUCAUUGAAAGCCCACUUUACUUCAGUGUGCUGAGUGUUGAUGCUGUGGGAGCUGUUUGCACAGUAAAGGCUCGUUGCAACCUGUCCUGAAAAAGCAAAGAAAGAAAAGGCAAUUCAAUAAGACGAGUGAGUUACAUGGAGGAAUUCAGGUGUCCAGGUGUAUUUAGCUCCAAAUAUGGGGAUUGGAAGACAACCAGCAUCUACAAGUCCUGACAGAUUUAGGGAGAGGCAGAAAGACUAGCAGGCCAAAGACUUGCUCAAGAUUGGAAUCAUUUUCUAUUCAUAAAGGGUCUAGUGUACCACAACACGUAGCUAACUUCUAUAAAGUUUUGGGUUUUUUUGGGGGGAGGGAUAUAAAAAAGUGAGUUUUUGUUUGAUUAAAACUUUUUGUACCAAAACUGCUAGAGGUGCUACUUUUUCUCCUUAGAACAGAAAAUGUAUUUACUCCACAUUUUGCAGGGAUAGUUGUUUGCUCCAUGGACCUGAAAUGGUUAGCAAUAACACAUUCGGUAUGUGUUAUUGGGGCUGGGAUUCAUAACGAUGAGGCGGAUAAUAACAGUCCUUAUAUACAGUCCAUACUGUGAGUCAAUCCAAGUGUUUACCCCAGUUCUGGAAUUCUCAGCCGGUUUUCCCACAGCUUUCUACACAACAUGUAUGCAUUUAAACUUUUACUGUUUUAACAGAUAUGUAUUUAAUUGUGGUGUUAUUUGACUUAGUUUGAUCUGGAUUGUGAUCAGUUAGCAUGUUCUCAUUUAUGUGCACAUGUCCAACAAACUAGAACAGGGCAGAUUUUACCUUGGACUGCCAUGGAUGAGUUUCCUCCACUGUGCUUUCCUAAUAAUUAUGGAACCUGAAGUGGUGGGCAUCUUUAACCGAUAAUAAUAUACCGCAUUUUGUACUUUUAAGUUGUGCAUAAAGUUUUUGCCACUGGAAGUGGAUUUACAGAAAACAUUUAUAGCAAGUACAGUUAAAUGGGCCUGAAAUAAAAGUGUAUACAAUGGUUCCUGCAGUAGACAAAUUUGUGGAAACAUUGUUAUUUCACAGCAUCUAGUUAGCAUGCAUUCACUGACCUUUUGGAAUCUUUAUAUGCUUUUAGAAACAUAUUGUGAUGACUAAUCAGUCACCUGCAUUGGGGUGAUAAUAAACCAGUCCUGUUUUUUAAUUGAAAAUCUUAUAUUUCUUCACUCUAAAAUAUAAAAUGAAAUAUGGUUCCAAAUGGCCAGAGAGGUUCAUUAUCACAGCAGUGUUGGGUGUGUACAAUGUUUAUAUGUUUGACUAUGACAGUAACAGGCUGAUUCAGAAACAGAUCCAUUGGUCCUUGGCAAUGGCAUUAUGAAAGCAGACUACAGGGCAUAUUUAUUAUACAUAUGGCACUGAAAUAGACCAGACAUUACCAAGGAUUUUAUAAUAGCUUAAUUCUGUGAUCACCGUACAUGCCAUUAAUUUAUAAGGUAAGGAUAACAACAGAGCUUUAUAAAUACAACUCUUUUAUGUCAGUUUUUACACUUCUUUGAGGUGUCAAAAAUUGUACAACCCUUUAAUUCCGGUUCCCUUCAUUCUUUGCUAUCAUUUACAUACACCUGUGGUGGGGGUACCUAGGAGAAGACCUUAAAAUCUGUUUUUCAGGUGUGGGGCCUCUUAUACUUGCAAUAGUGCACUACAAACUUUUAAGUUAUAAUGAGUGGGUAAACCCUUCCUUUCUUAAGCUGAAAAAAUAGAAACAUUUAGUUUAGGUGUUCUCUUCAUGGUCAGGAUUUUACUCUGGUUCUGAGAGGUGCAGUUAACAAACAGUCAGAAGACAGUAGGUGUGGCAUUCCUGGUCUUUAUGGAAAACUGGAGGUAUGCCAAUGAUAGAAUAGGCAUACAAGAGGAAUACAAUAUGUUCCUAAAAGCAUAUAAAUGUUCCCUAUGGUUCAGUGAAUGCAUGCUAAUAGGCAACUGUGAUAUAACAAUAUUAUUACUGAUUUCUCUAUAUUUUUUGUGGCACAGUCUUUUCUGGCGAUAUUUGGUUCGCAAGAUGGAGUAAAGAUUUAAUUAUACACUAAUAUUUUUAUGAAAAUUAAAAUACCAGGACAAUAAAAAUUUUUAAAAAUACUAUAUUUGCAAAACUAAUCUGCCAUAUUCCUAUUGUUCCAAGAGUUUGAUGCAAUAUAGCAGCCCCAUUUGCAUUUAUAAAUGUUCAGUCAAAUAAGGGUCUACAGCUAGAAAUCAUGCUUCCAUAAUUUAUUGGGAAAAAGAAAUAGAAGAUAUUCCACAUAAUAUUUUCAAUAUGACAAUAUAGGUAUAUGCAAUUACAAGUGAUUCAUUUCCAUUAUUGCUGGUUAAAGAAUUUAAAAAUGCUAUAUUCCAUUGGUCUGAGAAUUAUAAAGCAUUUUUUUCCCAAGCAAAUGUUAUGUUUAUCUUUAGGUCACACUGAAAAGAAAUUUGGAAAUUACAGUGGAUAAAGACUUUCUGGUGCGUAUUAGUGAUUUAGAUGUAUAUGUGGAAUCAACACCUCUCUAUGAACUGAAUGUACUGUCUAUUGUAAUAAAUUGAUUUUGAGUGUUUGCAAUAUACAUUCCUUUGGGUGGAACGAAAACACACACAGAUAAUGACCACCAAAGGGUUUGCUACUUAAGUGAAUAUCUCAGUUCAUGAGACCGUUUUGCCAAUUUCAGGUCAACGGUAAAAGAACGAUCCACGUGUCCUGCUGUCCUUCAUUCCACCGGAGUCUGUCUCAUACAUAAUCAGAUUUCAGUGGAGUGAAGCACAAGAGGCAUGUAGCAGUCUCAGCACAACCUGCAAAUUCCAAACUGAGCCAAGAUGGUAUGUACAAUGAGAAUGACAGGGCACUUUUGUUAUUCAGUUAAACAGUUAAGAUACAUUCAUUUGACAAUAACUUACUCAUUGCCUUUGAUAGGGAAAGAAAAAUCUAUUGCAACUGUAAAAAAAAUCAUUAUUCAGUGCUAGGAAAAACAAUUUAUUUUGUUUUUUUUUUGAGAAUACAUAUAUUAUCAUCUAUUAUAUUGCUCUGAAAUAAAAUUAAGUGUUGGUAUGCCUUACUCCCAUUGUGCCGUGUGUAAUUUUGUUGCACUCCAUUAUAAUUGUGUUUGGUUAAAAACAACCAAGGAUUAGAAUUCCAUCAGGCAAGGGCCUUAUGCAAACACUGAGAUAGUUUCAUAGGACAGGUUUUUACACCUAGCCAAAAUGAUAUUUUAAAAAAUCCCAAAUAAAACAUAAUUUUCAAGGGCAAUCAGGAUCUUUUCCUGUUAGUGUUUAUGUGUUUAUGUGUUCUCCUUAAAACAGCUGCACAGCUUAUUCCAUUACAAUCCAGGUUACAAAGUGAUAGUAAGGGCAUGGGGUCCUCAUUCUUUUGCUUUAACUUCUCAAAGGUGGCAGUAGAUGUCCUCAUAACACCAAAUUGUCUGUCAAGGCAGUCACAAAGCUUGCCUAAACUUACUGCAUCUAGAUACCUAUAUUUAUUAAUACAGUAUUGAAUAUAAGAUUGCUGUUGUCAAAGAUCAUGCCAUAGAAUCAGUGCAACAUAUCAUGCAGCAGACAAAUGAAUCAGGUGUAAGGUAUAGUUGAAAGGGUUACCAUCACCGUGAGGUCUAUUCGGUAUUCCAAACAGACACAGAUUGUUACACCUGUACAAUACAUAAUAGGGGAAAUAAUAAGUCUAGAUAUAAACUCAAGCCACAGCAUUAGGUGGAAUAAUGCUCCAAGAUUGUUGUACAGAGAGAAAGACCAUAGCACUAAUCCCCUAUAAUUCACUCAAUUCAGCACAAUAUUUUUAGAGUACCUUUUAGGUCUACUUUUUAUGUUUUUUUCUGAGCAUUAUAUAUUGGAAGAAUCUUUGCUACAUGGUGAAGUAGUUCAAAUUGCAAACACAUUUUAUUUGUUUUCUGCUUAAGACUACCAUCUCUCUACAGUCAUUUACAAAGCAAAGGGAUAGCCCAGAGCACAGCAAGCUCACCAGUACAGUUAAUAUUCUGGGUAUAUAGAUCUGUCUGUGAAUUCUGCGUGUUCCUACAUUAAGCUUAUACAAAACUGAAGAGCAAGCAUUAUUUGGGCUUAAGGUAUGGAGAUCCAAAUUACGGAAAGACCCCUU